GCCCCGAUGGUGAAAUUGGUAGACACUGCGGACUUAAAAUCCGCCGCUUUCCUGAAUAAGGGGCGUGCCGGUUCGACCCCGGCUCGGGGCACCA
rnacentral:tRNA from 1 species